UGAGCCCAGUGAUGAACAACUGAUGCUUUGAUCCUCCGCACAAGCUGCGCUGUGGAAAUGAUGUGUUUAAUUUAGAUUGUUCUGAGGGUGCA
rnacentral:snoRNA from 1 species